AUGAAGGUGGAAGAUGAAAACCACCAUAAAGAUGAAUUUGACUUGGUAAUGAAUGCAGGAUUUGAGAAUGACUUUUUUCUCUUGAAGAGCCUAACAAGGGAAGGGAAAGAAGAAUGGAUACUAUUUGAGUCGUGUCCUCAUUGCUCCUCGUCAGUGUUUGAUGCUGAUUCUACAAUACUUCACAAAGAUACUUCUGCUUUACAUUCUAUGGGAAUUCCAGUAGAACAAUUACAUGCAUAA